GGGUCAGUAGGUUGGUCGUGCCACCGGUACGUACUGGUCUCACUGAUUCCUCCUUCCUGAAGAACCGUAGUGCCAUUAAUUUGGUGUUGCGGGGAAACAGGACUGUUACUUUGAAAAAAUUAGAGUGUUUAAAGCAAGCUAACGCUUGAACACAUUAGCAUGGAGUAAUGAAAUAGGACGAUCGAUCCUAUUUUGUUGGUUUCUAGGAUUGACGUA
rnacentral:rRNA from 1 species